rnacentral:rRNA from 1 species
UGUCCAGACUCCUACGGGAGGCAGCAGUGGGGAAUAUUGCACAAUGGGGGGAACCCUGAUGCAGCGACGCCGCGUGGGUGAAGGAGCACCUCGGUGCGUAAAGCCCUAUCGGCAGGGAGGAAACAGACGGUACCUGACUAAGAAGCCCCGGCUAACUACGUGCCAGCAGCCGCGGGAAUACGUAGGGGGCAAGCGUUAUCCGGAUUUACUGGGUGUAAAGGGGGCGCAGACGGCGAUGCAAGCCAGGAGUGAAAGCCCGGGGCCCAACCCCGGGACUGCUCUUGGAACUGCGCGGCUGGAGUGCAGGAGGGACAGGCGGAAUUCCUGGUGUAGCGGUGAAAUGCGUAGAUAUCAGGAGGAACACCGGUGGCGAAGGCGGCCUGCUGGACUGCGACUGACGUUGAGGCCCGAAAGCGUGGGGAGCAAACAGGAUUAGAUACCCGAGUA